rnacentral:rRNA from 1 species
GCAGCCGCCGCGGUAAUACGAAGGGUGCAAGCGUUACUCGGAAUUACUGGGCGUAAAGCGUGCGUAGGUGGUUCGUUAAGUCUGAUGUGAAAGCCCUGGGCUCAACCUGGGAAUGGCAUUGGAUACUGGCGGUCUAGAGUGCGGUAGAGGGCAGUGGAAUUCCCGGUGUAGCAGUGAAAUGCGUAGAGAUCGGGAGGAACAUCUGUGGCGAAGGCGACUGCCUGGACCAGCACUGACACUGAGGCACGAAAGCGUGGGGAGCAAACAGGAUUAGAUACCCUGGUAGUCCACGCCCUAAACGAUGCGAACUGGAUGUUGGGUGCAACUAGGCACUCAGUAUCGAAGCUAACGCGUUAAGUUCGCCGCCUGGGGAGUACGGUCGCAAGACUGAAACUCAAAGGAAUUGACGGGGGCCCGCACAAGU